CUUGGGGUGUGUGUGUACAUCAGGGCUCGGCACCCAUACAGUGCAGUACGCUUGUGUGUGUAGCUAAAACACGAAGAUGCCUACGCCGAAACCGGUUUCUUGCUUUACACUGGGCGAAACAAGCUGCAAUUAUUUCGUGUUGAAACUUUCAAGAGAAACACAAAUUUUAAGCAAAACAAUAAAAAUUUUAAAGAAUAUAUGACAAAAAUGAAUACAAUUAUUAAACACAACUGCACGUAACAUAAUCGCGUAUUAUGCAUUGCGCAUUGUCAUCUAUAAUUUGGAAAAAUAAAAAGUUUUGUUGUUACUUCUCAUUGAGCAUGUUUUCUUACAGUGUGGCAUUCAAUAGUUGCGUAGCGUGAUCUUGCUUUGUCGACGGCUGAUCAGCAACUGAUGCCAUUUUCGUUCUGUAUCUGGUGUGAAAACGAGACAAAAAGUGCCGAAGUCGCAUUGCCGAAGCCAUACGAAGCUCUGCUGCU